rnacentral:rRNA from 1 species
UACAGGGGGGGCAAGCGUUGUUCGGAAUUACUGGGCGUAAAGGGCUCGUAGGCGGCCAACUAAGUCCGACGUGAAAUCCCAAAGCUUAACUUUGGAACUGCGUCGGAUACUGGAUGGCUUGAAUUCGGGAGAGGGAUGCAGAAUUCCAGGUGUAGCGGUGAAAUGCGUAGAUAUCUGGAGGAAUACCGGUGGCGAAGGCGGCAUCCUGGACCGACAUUGACGCUGAGGCGCGAAAGCCAGGGGAGCAAACGGG